ACGUGAAAUAUGCUAAAACUGUGUUUUUUGGAAAGAGUUUGUGGAGAAAAUAUGAGAGAGCGAUAUUUGAGUUUUAUUUACCAGAAUUAUUUUUCGGAAUGGCGAUAAUACCCUUAGUUUUGGCCUUUAAUUAUGUUAAUGCCAUAAAUUUGAGUUUUUUAAUUUAACGACGAGAGAAAGAGAGGAGAUGGAUCACACGUUUACGCGGUUUCUACGCGGAGAGUUGACUGCCAUGUCAGCAUUUCGAAUGAGUGGGUCUCCCUGUUUGAUUUUCCUCGGUUGGUUGGUCGCUGUUAAUAUUUCUCUCAUAUUAUUAUUUAAUGCUAUUUUUUCUUAUUUAAAAGAUUUAUUUAGUUUUAUAGUGGAACAGAACUAUGGAUGUUUCUUCCCAUGUGUUGUACAAGUGGAGCAACAUCUGUCAAAAUUUUAAAGAUUUUGUAUUAUGAAUAUGACAGACAUUUUUCAGAUAUAAUAAGAGGAGCUUUCACCCACUUCUUUAUUCAUUUCAAGGCUGAGGCAUGACUAGUGGAGCGAUAGUGGUGGCAAGCUAUCCUGUGAAAUGGUGUCGUUCUUUAUUUGAAAGGUAAUAUUAAUGAGUGCAUAUGCAACCGCUUGCUUUACGCUGUGCUGCACCAAGUCUGAUUCUUUCUCCUCAUCAUUCAUCUCAUGCAACACUGAAGUUGUUUCAGGCUUGUCUCCCUUCAAGUUCAACUCCCUAGUCAGCUCUUGCAGGUAUGAAUAGAUCUCUUUUUUAUUUAGAUGGAGAACAGUCUUGACCUUGUAUGUUAUAUAGAUAUCUUUUCAACCAUCAGGUGAUUCAUGUCAAACAACUCAAGCCCUUUGUCAUUACAUGCCUAAUGCAAGUUCAACGUCUUCUCGUUGAUCUCCGUCACAGUUUGCUCUUCCAUAAUAUUAAACAGUUUGAUUGCCUCCUCAUGAUGUCCAUGAAUCCCAUAAGCAGAAGUCAUCGAGCUCCACAUCACUUCAUCUUCACGUUCUGAGAAAGCUUUAGCUGCAUCUUCAAGGCACCCCACAUGUUAAUACAUGAUGAACAAUGAACUAACCACAUCUACCACGGAGCUAUCUCCGAUCUUAAUAGCUUCGGCAUCAAUUUGUUGACCUUGACUUUCUAACCGCUAAAUCAGAACAGGAACUGAGCACAGUUACAAGAGUGAUAUUGUCCGGCCUAUAUAUUUUCAUAUUAUACUGUCUAAACACUGUUUCAGGACAUUCGUUUUGAGCGAUCAUUGACCUAAUGAUAUUUUCUCCAUCUUGCAGUUUCCCAUUUCUCAUAUACAUAUGAGCCACUGAACUGUUAUCCUCUGAGUCCAACUCAAGCCCGUAUUUUAUAACCACGAUUUGUGGUCUAGUGGUUUAACUUGAGGAUAAAGUCUAAUACGUGAAGUCACCGUGGUUCGAAUCCGGACUAGGGAAUUAUCGCCAGGGAAAAAAGACAUGUGGGCUGAAAAUGUAAGCUGUUAACACGUGCCUAGUCUUGACCCACUUCUGUGGAGGCCAAAUACCCAUGUAUAAUUAAAAAAGCAUGCAUUUUAUUAUGCAUCAAUGAAUCUAUAAGUUAUUUAGAGAAAAUCUUUAAACAUGAAACGAAAACAACAAGUUUUUCAUUUAUUCCGGUAAGGUAAUGUUUUCGGAUUCAUACUUGAACAAGUGUUCAUGCUCAAAAGUUUGAACUACCUGCAAAUGAAAGACUACAUAAAAGACAGAAACAAAGAAGUGUCUCUCUGAUAUGAACCAACACAAAGAAGAAAGAAAAAAGAACGUCCAGGAAGAUCAUAAAGAAGCAUAGCUUGUCCGCAGGAGCUUCCAUUUAGGAUCCAACAGUGUUUAACUUGACAAGAUCUUCUUCACCUCCUGCCAUUAAUUAACCCAAUCAUUCAGAACAAAGAAACCAUUGAAUCAAACUACUACCACUAAGGCCAUGUUCGUUUUUGUAUCCAAACGCUCAUCAGGAUACUAGCAUCUGGAUACGAUCAUACGAGCAUUCAGAUGGUGUUUGUUUAGACACUAUUGCAUCAGCAUCUACAUGCAUCAUCUAAAUGCAACAUAUAUAAUAUCUAAAAUAUAUUUGAGAUGUUAAAAAAUUAUAGUUGGAUGCUCCAUUUGCAUCUUAAAAUCCAAAGACCUAAAUACCCUUAAAUACAACUACAAAAUUAAUUAAAUUCUUUAUUAUUAUAAUAUAAUAUCUUUAAUCGUAAAAUUGUAAAUUUUCUGACAAAAUAGAAAAAAAAUGCAUUUCUUAGCCAAAAUCUAAAAACCGUAUUUUCCCGCCAAAUUCCAAAAAUCGCGUUUUCCGCCAAAAUCAGAAAUCUUUUCUCGCCAAAAUCAGAAAACCGGUUUUCCCACAAAAAACAAAAUACCUGUUUUCCCGACAAAA